AAUGUCUUUGUUUUCAAAAGAAAAGAAAAUAUUUUAUCAAUUUAAAUAUCAUCAAAUUGAUCAGAAAUAGUGUAAACAUUGUUUAUGGUGUGAAUGACUAUUGUAGCUGGAAACAUGAUUUUUAAUGGAAUAUGUAAAUAGACGUACUAAGGCCCAUUAUCAGCAACAAUCAGCCCUGUGUUCCAAUGGCAUGUUGUUUGCUAAUCAGAGUUUAUCAUUUUAAAAGGCUAAUUGAUCAUUAGAAAACCCUUUUUCCAUUUGUUUUUCUGAGAAAUUAAGGCUAUUACAUGCAAUAAAUUGCCAAGAAACUGAAGAUCUCGUACAACACUGUGUACUAGUCCAUUAACAAAACAGCGCCCAAUGUCUCUAAUCAGAAUAGAAAGAAUGGGAGGCCCCGGUGCACAACUGAGCAAGAGGACAAAUACAUUAGUGUCUAGUUCAGAAACAGGUGCCUCACAAUGUCCUCAGCUAGCAUCUUCAUUAAAUAGUACCUGCAAAACACCAGUCUCAAUGUCAACAGUGAAGAGGCGACUCUAGGAUGCUGGCCUUCUAGGCAGAGUAGCAAGGAAAAAGCUAUAUCUCAGAUUGCGGAUCAUGAUUAUGGAUCGUGUUUCAUAUUUACAGAUCAUAAAAUAUUUGUUUGUAGAAUUUGUGCAAUUGUAGAUUUUUAUGUAGUAUAAGCGUCACAAAACUUGAGUCAAAAUAUAAUGUGAUCCACAAAUAGUGAAUUUACUGUUUGAUGUAAUCGUAAAUCAUUUUUCAUGUCUUAAAAUCCUUGCUUUGAGGUAAAAGUAGAAAGGAGUUUAUUUAUGGGUAGCAAAAUAUAUUUGUGGAUCAUGUUUUGUAUUUGCAGAUAAUGAGCCAUUUGUUUGUGGAUGUUACAUUCCUUUGUAAAUUGUAUUUUCUGUUUACACAUUGUAAUAUACAUUUGUAAAUUGUGGUCUGCAAUUCUAUCUCCAUAGUUUUGUCCUGUCAUGCUUGAACAUGUUUUAAUAGGUAUUCAAUAGCCUGUUUAUAGCCUGUUUUGUCCUGUCAUGCUUGAACAUGUUUUAAUAGGUAUUCAAUAGCCUGUUUAUAGCCUGUUUUGUCCUGUCAUGCUUGAACAUGUUUUAAUAGGUAUUCAUUAGCCUGUUUAUAGCCUGUUUUGUCGUGUCAUGCUUGAACAUGUUUAAUAGGUAUUCAAAAUAGCCUGAUUUGUCCUGUCAUGCUUGAACAUGUUUAAUAGGUAUUCAAAAUAGCCUGUUUUGUCCUGUCUUGCUUGAACAUGUUUAAUAUGUAUUCAAAAUAGCCUGUUUUGCUGUGCUUUGUCAUGUUCACUAUGUAAUUUUGAGUCAAACAUAUUUAUUCGCAUUGAUGAUAAUGUUAAAAACCGUAAGGCCUCAAGGGGGGUCCCACAACAAUUUGGUUAGGCCUUUACCAGGCCCACCACAUGUUAAUUUUCUAUUGCUUGAUGAGCUGUUCGCUAGCACACGUGGGUACAUCUAAACCUAGUGAAUUAGAAAUUGGUACAAUGAUCUCAUGGUUUUCUUACAAAAGGUUAAAAUAUUGUGUUUUCUCUAUUCUUGUAUAUUGUAUAAGUGGUAGAAUAAAGAAUCCACAUGGUGG
ensembl:lncRNA